rnacentral:rRNA from 1 species
AUUGAACGCUGGCGGCAUGCUUUACACAUGCAAGUCGAACGGUAACAGGGUGCUUGCGCCGCUGACGAGUGGCGAACGGGUGAGUAAUGCGUCGGAACGUGCCGAGUAGUGGGGGAUAACGCAGCGAAAGUUGUGCUAAUACCGCAUACGUACUGAGGUAGAAAGUGGGGGACCUUCGGGCCUCACGCUAUUCGAGCGGCCGACGUCUGAUUAGCUAGUAGGUGAGGUAAAGGCUCACCUAGGCGACGAUCAGUAGCGGGUCUGAGAGGAUGAUCCGCCACACUGGGACUGAGACACGGCCCAGACUCCUACGGGAGGCAGCAGUGGGGAAUUUUGGACAAUGGGCGAAAGCCUGAUCCAGCCAUGCCGCGUGUCUGAAGAAGGCCUUCGGGUUGUAAAGGACUUUUGUCAGGGAGGAAAUCCCUAGUGCUAAUAACACUGGGACUCAUGACGGUACCUGAAGAAUAAGCACCGGCUAACUACGUGCCAGCCGCCGCUGUAA